rnacentral:rRNA from 1 species
GAAUUUUGCGCAAUGGGCGAAAGCCUGACGCAGCAACGCCGCGUGGAGGAAGAAGGCCUCCGGGUCGUAAACUCCUGUCCCCAGGGAAGAAGGAAGUGACGGUACCUGGGGAGGAAGCCCCGGCUAACUCCGUGCCAGCAGCCGCGGUAAUACGGGGGGGGCGGGCGUUGUUCGGAAUGACUGGGCGUAAAGGGCGCGUAGGCGGCCCGAGAAGUUCUGGGUGAAAGCCCCCGGCUCAACCGGGGAAGUGCCUGGAAAACCAUCGGGCUGGAGUGCUGGAGAGGCAAGCGGAAUUUCUGGUGUAGCGGUGAAAUGCGUAGAUAUCAGAAGGAACACCUGCGGCGAAGGCGGCUUGCUGGACAGACACUGACGCUGAGGCGCGAAAGCCAGGGGAGCAAACGGG